CAUAGGUUAAUGAGGCGAACCGGGGGAACUGAAACAUCUAAGUACCCCGAGGAAAAGAAAUCAACCGAGAUUCCCCCAGUAGCGGCGAGCGAACGGGGAGCAGCCCAGAGCCUGAAUCAGUGUGUGUGUUAGUGGAAGCGUCUGGAAAGGCGCGCGAUACAGGGUGACAGCCCCGUACACAAAAAUGCACAUACUGUGAGCUCGAUGAGUAGGGCGGGACACGUGGUAUCCUGUCUGAAUAUGGGGGGACCAUCCUCCAAGGCUAAAUACUCCUGACUGACCGAUAGUGAACCAGUACCGUGAGGGAAAGGCGAAAAGAACCCCGGCGAGGGGAGUGAAAAAGAACCUGAAACCGUGUACGUACAAGCAGUGGGAGCACGCUUAGGCGUGUGACUGCGUACCUUUUGUAUAAUGGGUCAGCGACUUAUAUUCUGUAGCAAGGUUAACCGAAUAGGGGAGCCGAAGGGAAACCGAGUCUUAACUGGGCGUUAAGUUGCAGGGUAUAGACCCGAAACCCGGUGAUCUAGCCAUGGGCAGGUUGAAGGUUGGGUAACACUAACUGGAGGACCGAACCGACUAAUGUUGAAAAAUUAGCGGAUGACUUGUGGCUGGGGGUGAAAGGCCAAUCAAACCGGGAGAUAGCUGGUUCUCCCCGAAAGCUAUUUAGGUAGCGCCUCGUGAAUUCAUCUCCGGGGGUAGAGCACUGUUUCGGCAAGGGGGUCAUCCCGACUUACCAACCCGAUGCAAACUGCGAAUACCGGAGAAUGUUAUCACGGGAGACACACGGCGGGUGCUAACGUCCGUCGUGAAGAGGGAAACAACCCAGACCGCCAGCUAAGGUCCCAAAGUCAUGGUUAAGUGGGAAACGAUGUGGGAAGGCCCAGACAGCCAGGAUGUUGGCUUAGAAGCAGCCAUCAUUUAAAGAAAGCGUAAUAGCUCACUGGUCGAGUCGGCCUGCGCGGAAGAUGUAACGGGGCUAAACCAUGCACCGAAGCUGCGGCAGCGACGCUGAUGCGUUGUUGGGUAGGGGAGCGUUCUGUAAGCCUGCGAAGGUGUGCUGUGAGGCAUGCUGGAGGUAUCAGAAGUGCGAAUGCUGACAUAAGUAACGAUAAAGCGGGUGAAAAGCCCGCUCGCCGGAAGACCAAGGGUUCCUGUCCAACGUUAAUCGGGGCAGGGUGAGUCGACCCCUAAGGCGAGGCCGAAAGGCGUAGUCGAUGGGAAACAGGUUAAUAUUCCUGUACUUGGUGUUACUGCGAAGGGGGGACGGAGAAGGCUAUGUUGGCCGGGCGACGGUUGUCCCGGUUUAAGCGUGUAGGCUGGUUUUCCAGGCAAAUCCGGAAAAUCAAGGCUGAGGCGUGAUGACGAGGCACUACGGUGCUGAAGCAACAAAUGCCCUGCUUCCAGGAAAAGCCUCUAAGCAUCAGGUAACAUCAAAUCGUACCCCAAACCGACACAGGUGGUCAGGUAGAGAAUACCAAGGCGCUUGAGAGAACUCGGGUGAAGGAACUAGGCAAAAUGGUGCCGUAACUUCGGGAGAAGGCACGCUGAUAUGUAGGUGAAGCGACUUGCUCGUGGAGCUGAAAUCAGUCGAAGAUACCAGCUGGCUGCAACUGUUUAUUAAAAACACAGCACUGUGCAAACACGAAAGUGGACGUAUACGGUGUGACGCCUGCCCGGUGCCGGAAGGUUAAUUGAUGGGGUCAGCGCAAGCGAAGCUCUUGAUCGAAGCCCCGGUAAACGGCGGCCGUAACUAUAACGGUCCUAAGGUAGCGAAAUUCCUUGUCGGGUAAGUUCCGACCUGCACGAAUGGCGUAAUGAUGGCCAGGCUGUCUCCACCCGAGACUCAGUGAAAUUGAACUCGCUGUGAAGAUGCAGUGUACCCGCGGCAAGACGGAAAGACCCCGUGAACCUUUACUAUAGCUUGACACUGAACAUUGAGCCUUGAUGUGUAGGAUAGGUGGGAGGCUUUGAAGUGUGGACGCCAGUCUGCAUGGAGCCGACCUUGAAAUACCACCCUUUAAUGUUUGAUGUUCUAACGUUGACCCGUGAUCCGGGUUGCGGACAGUGUCUGGUGGGUAGUUUGACUGGGGCGGUCUCCUCCUAAAGAGUAACGGAGGAGCACGAAGGUUGGCUAAUCCUGGUCGGACAUCAGGAGGUUAGUGCAAUGGCAUAAGCCAGCUUGACUGCGAGCGUGACGGCGCGAGCAGGUGCGAAAGCAGGUCAUAGUGAUCCGGUGGUUCUGAAUGGAAGGGCCAUCGCUCAACGGAUAAAAGGUACUCCGGGGAUAACAGGCUGAUACCGCCCAAGAGUUCAUAUCGACGGCGGUGUUUGGCACCUCGAUGUCGGCUCAUCACAUCCUGGGGCUGAAGUAGGUCCCAAGGGUAUGGCUGUUCGCCAUUUAAAGUGGUACGCGAGCUGGGUUUAGAACGUCGUGAGACAGUUCGGUCCCUAUCUGCCGUGGGCGCUGGAGAACUGAGGGGGGCUGCUCCUAGUACGAGAGGACCGGAGUGGACGCAUCACUGGUGUUCGGGUUGUCAUGCCAAUGGCACUGCCCGGUAGCUAAAUGCGGAAGAGAUAAGUGCUGAAAGCAUCUAAGCACGAAACUUGCCCCGAGAUGAGUUCUCCCUGACUCCUUGAGAGUCCUGAAGGAACGUUGAAGACGACGACGUUGAUAGGCCGGGUGUGUAAGCGCAGCGAUGCGUUGAGCUAACCGGUACUAAUGAACCGUGAG
rnacentral:rRNA from 1 species